rnacentral:lncRNA from 1 species
CAUGAGGGGCUUCAUGGGAGUAACGGCCCAUUACAUGGCCAUGGCAGAGAAAAAAAAACUCCCCGACUGGAGUCAGUUCUGUUGAGCUGUGAUAGAUUCACAGGGUCACACACUGGGGAAAGUAUCAGUGAUACAUUUGAAGUAAUAUGUGAUCAUUUUGGCAUAAAACAUACAUUAGAUUAUAUCAUAUGUGAUCACACUGCAAAUAUGAAAAAGGCCUUCACAGUUUGUUUCCCCAAAGCAAGCAAUGAUCAUGAUGAUGAUAAUGUGGAUAACCCCAGCCUAUGGGAAGAAUUUGGUGAAGAGUACAAUGCUGAUGUAGAAGCUAUCCAAACCAACUGCAGGCAACAGCGCUUACAGUGCUUUACCCAUUCAUUACAACUAGUGAUUAGAGAUGGACUAAAGGAAACAAAAAUCAUAAACAGUCUGAUGGCUAAGGUAACUAAACUUUGCAGCUUACUACAUACUACCUGUGGUCUGAAAGAAGCAUUUGAAACUGAGUUCGGAGCCAAUUGUUGUAUCAAUGCUGCUGUGUCUACCAGAUGGAAUUCCAUCCUCCCAAGGACACAAGGAACUCUGCUUAUCACCAAGGGAAUGGAGCCAGCUAUUGGAGCUAGUGGACAUUUUGGACCCUGUGGUGACUCUCAGUGCUGCCUUUCCUUGUGUACUGUCACUCAACUAUCAUCUGCAAAGUAUACUGAGCACAAGUCGUCACCUAGUCAGUCUUGAUAAAGCACUGCAGCAGUCACUCAAACGCCGAUUCCGGGGGGUGUUUGUGAAUGUCAGAAUGGAGCACUCGGAUGAACAGGCAACAAAACUUCAAUUUGGUGACAAUGUAUACAUAAUGGCUGCACUGCUGGACCCAUCUUUCUGCCUGUUCUGGCUUGAUCAUAAUGUCCUCAUACCACAUGAAGAUAAAGCUGAAUUGAAUAAGUCUGAUUGACAUUGUUUUGGCUGAGGCACGGAAAGUCACCAUUACGGAGAGCAGUAGUGGAGAAGAAGAAGAACAACCACCUGCCAAAACCUCUAGACUGUUCUCUGGCCUCUGCAACAAGAUCAGCAAGAAGAAAGGAGACAUAAAUUCAUCUGUCAGAGCAGAGAUUAUUUGCUAUAUUGAAGUAUCUUCUGAUGAAAAUUAAGUUGAUAGCUUGGAUUUUUGGAGAAUCCAUGCAAGACUUUCCAAGGCUCAAGCAGGUAGCAAUGACAGUGUUGGCUAUGCCUGCCACCAGUGCCCCAGUGGAGAAAGUGUUUAGUCAUGGAGGCCUCAUCAUGCACCCUCAUCGUGCCAGGCUUAGUGCAAGAACACUGACAAACUUGAUCUUUCUGAAAUGUAACCUGUCUACAACAUAAAUGUUCUCUGUCCUAGGGCAUAGGAUGUAAUUUGCUACUUGUUACAGGAAAUUGUAUUUCUGUUGUUAAGUUUCCUGGUCAGUAAGUAUAUUUUAGGGAUAAAGCUCAUUACGCUUGAUAUAUAGGACACUUUAGUAGUGCAGUUAUUGAACAGUUGUCAGUCAUUUUGGUUUACAUUCAUGCUUGUCAUUUAACUUCCCUCACCUACAGAUUUUCUGUUUGUGUGACAGAAUGAAGUGAACUAUAGACAAUGUCUGACACAAAAUACCAUGCACUUUAAAAUGUUGUGUUUGCUUUUUUUCAUAUCCGGUACAAUUGCUUUUAUUAAUGUUAAUGUAAACUGUCUACAUUUUAAAAGGACAUUUAUUUUGAUUUAAA